rnacentral:rRNA from 1 species
GGGUCAGUAGGUUGGUCGUGCCACCGGUACGUACUGGUCUCACUGAUUCCUCCUUCCUGAAGAACCGUAAUGCCAUUAAUUUGGUGUUGCGGGGAAACAGGACUGUUACUUUGAAAAAUUAGAGUGUUUAAAGCAAGCUAACGCUUGAAUACAUUAGCAUGGAAUAAUGAAAUAGGACGAUCGAUCCUAUUUUGUUGGUUUCUAGGAUUGACGUA